CAUCAGCAUUGAAUGCAGAAGAAUUGAAAGGAAGGAACGAGGAAGGCUAUGUUUGUAUUUUUUACUCGCUCGCUUUUGAUAGUUUUUUGAACGUAGUUCUGUCAGGUUUCAAGGUAAUUUUGUUUACUUUGAAUAGUUUCAAAUUGGAUAUGAAGGAGUGGGAGAUAGCAAGAUAAUUCAUUCAGUAAAAUCUCAAGAUGUGGCUCGCCAUAAGUCGUCAACCUCAAAAGGGUGCUAUUUUAUUUAAAUUUCUUCAGCACCCUCAGUUGAAGGAAAACGACCUCAGCCGCUCUUACUCUGUUUUGAGUAAAUUAAAGCCAAAGCGACGAAUCUGUCAAAAUGCAGAGUCAGCAUAUUUCAAGAAAGAAAUCAACACCACCGGUCUACCACAUUAUGCUCCCAAGCCGGCAUAUCAGUGUGUAUCCACAUACAUUGCGGCUGGUGUCAUCAUCUAUGGAAUAUGGAAAGUAAAGAAGCAACUCGUAUCUGUAAAGGCCGAUUCUUCUAUUCAAGAACAUAAUAUAGAACAUGAUAAAUUACUAGACGAAGAUGACAUCGGGAAGAAAAAGAGAAGAAGCAAGGAGAAAGUAGGAUUUCGUGAUAGAAAGAUUAUCGAAUACGAGAACCGCAUACGACACUUCUCGACUCCAGACAAGGUGUUCCGCUACUUCGCCACUCUACAAGUGACGCACAUCCACGCGUCAGGAACGGAAACCCACGAAGUUUUCAUGACGCCUGACGACUUUCUACGAUCUAUGACACCCGGCCUCAAACAGCCUGAUGGUCUUGGACUUGAUCAGUACAAACGAUACGACCCGAAGAACCAUGCAGAGAACGUGCAUAUGAAGCUGGAAUUGGCUCUCGAUGAAGACAGCAUCUUCUAUAAGCUGGGCAGUUCCGGACUCAUCACAUUUUCUGACUACAUUUUUCUGCUCACCGUUCUAUCAACAUCCCGUCGCCAUUUUGAAAUCGCGUUCAGAAUGUUCGACCUGAAUGGUGAUGGAGAUGUGGACUGUGAGGAAUUUGAAAAGGUGGCAACCCUGAUUCGCCAACAGACCAGCAUUGGCAGCAGGCACCGUGAUCAUGCUAACACUGGAAACACAUUCAAAGGAGUCAACUCAGCUCUAACCACAUACUUUUUUGGGCCAAGCAUGAACCAGAAGUUGACUAUUGAGAAAUUUCUGGAGUUCCAACAACAACUGCAAAGGGAGAUUCUAAGUCUUGAGUUUCAGCGCAAAAACCCUGACGAUAAUGGCAAAAUAUCGGAGGCAGAUUUCACUGAACUAUUGCUGGCUUAUGCCGGGUAUGCUCCUAAGAAGAAAGCCCGUAUGUUGAAACACGUUAAAAAAGUAUUCAGAGAAAAUCCGCAAGGUAUCAGUAGAGACGAUUAUCUCAAGUUUUUCCACUUUUUGAAUAACAUCAACGACGUUGACACAGCACUCACUUUCUAUCAUAUCGCUGGAGCUUCUAUUGACCAAGGAACCUUGAAACACGUGGCCAAGACAGUUGCUCAUGUGGAUCUGAGUGAUCAUGUAAUAAACGUCGUUUUCACAAUAUUCGAUGAAAAUCUUGACGGGCAACUGAGCAACAGAGAGUUUGUGGCAGUGAUGAAGAAUCGCCUGCUUCGUGGUCUGGAAAAGCCCAAAGACACCGGUUUCGUCAAAUUCAUCCAGUCUGUUCUCAAGUGCGCCAAAGAAACGAGGCCAGUUAUUUUCGACAUUUAAACACUAAUACACCACAUUAAUAAUGUAUCUCCGUGAUAUUAUUACAUAUAAUUUUGUGAAAAAUAUAUGCCUUAUCAGUGUAUAAAUGGAAUGGACUACCAUCAGUCCAUUCAACAAACCUACACAAAAUUGUGUUGGUAACACUUGUGAGAGAGUGUGGAAUGAAUGUCAAUUUAUAGUUUAUAUUAUCAAUAUAAAGACCCUUAAAACAACCCAAAUAUGAACAAGCAUGAUGAGAUUACAUACAAUUUCUAAAUUUGAAGCAUCUAAAUUCGAAUAUCUACUUUGUGAAAAUACUUGAGGACUGAAAAUUUUGUGAAUUGAAGAACUACAAGACUUAACCUAUUUCGGACUAUGUGUUAUCUAAAUUUGGGAGAGGAAUAGCACAAGGUUACCUUAUUUUUCCUCUCCCUAUGAUUUUGAUAAUGUACUUAUCGUAUAAAUGAAUGAAUGAAUUUCGUGUUGAUUGUUAUAUGUAAAUAUAAAUACAAUUUCAUAGUCAGUCAGUUUCAACUCCCAAGAGUUGAUUUGAUAAGUUUUUACUUGUGAUGAAAGUGUAUGAUUAAUUUCCUGAUGGGGUCUAUGAGACAUUUUUAACAUAAGAUAUAUUAAUCUAUUUCAAAUUCGCAUACAUAUUUCACGUUUGUAAUGGGGUCCAAGGUAUUUCCCCUAUGUAGUUUGAUUAAGCAUAUAUUUCACACAAAAAUAUUUGUAAUCUCAUCAUAUUUUGAUCGUUGUUAGGGUCUUUAUAUUGAUCAUAUAAAAUUAUGUAUUGACAUUUGUUCUAGACAAAACAACAAUGCUGUAAUAAUUAAAACACUUCCCUCUCACAAGUGAUACAAAGAUAAUUUCGUUUAGGUUUGUUGAAAUCACUGAUGGAAUGUAAUGUAUCUCCCUUUCAUUGAUCACGCAUAUAUUUCACACAAAAUUAUGUGUUCAAUAUCACGGAAAUACAUUAUUAAUCUGCUAAUUCGACUCCUUCUAAUUCGACAUCUCCUUACUGGAACUAUAUUCCAGUAAGUUAAAUGGUAAAUUGCAUACGAUGCUGACAAUGAGUUGAAAAUAUUUAGUUGGGAGAUAUUUUUAUCAAACCAGUUUUGUAUACAAUUUAUUCAACUAAUUCAUGAAUAAUUGCUGGCUUAAGUAUCUGAAUACCCAAAAACCUCGAAAACAAAUUUUAAUAUCUAAUGAAUCAAGAAAAACAUCAACGAAUAAGAAAACAUAAAAUUUUUAAUGUAAAAAUAGCUGUUUCUGUAUUAAUACAUUUCAAUAAUAUUUAUUCAUUUCUUGGUGUUUAAUUAUGUGUCAAGUUUAGUAACCACAGGCUUAUUUACAUUGAACCUUUGUUCAGAUCGUUCCUAAUUCGGUAAAUCUUUGACCAUCAACAUACUUAUAUCUAUAUAUUUUUAUAAUUUAUAUUAUUGGCCGAGAAGGCUGUAAAAACCCACGUAUAAGGUAUUAUUGGUAAGGUAUAUUAUUGUACAAGAAUUAUUAAGUAUCGGUAAGGUAUAUUAUUGUACAAGAAAAGAAAACACUUUUUGAUAUGUUCAAUGCGUAGCACCGUUUUAUUCUGUACAAAGGAUGUAAAUUAAACAAUUUGUCUUCAAAAAUAUACUAAGCAAAAUCAUAAAUAGAAGAAUAUUCUAGAAAAAGAAUCAUAUUUCAUUGAUAGGAUUUCAUAAAAAUAAUGUAAACUAUAAAUAAUAUUGCAGUUCCUUUCUUCAUACUACUUAUUUAAUUGUUUUUAAUCUCUCUUCAAGAUUUCUAACGGUACCCUAGUUGAAGUGACCUGUCCACAAAUUAUUCUUAUCUCAUCCUUCACCAUUUCCAACGUCGUCAACGUAGGAUUGAUCUGCAAUAUAUAUUUUAUUCAACUUCGACACAAUUUUUCAUCCAUCUAAAGACUAUGCUACAAUCAUCGUCUAUAAUAUUAUACAGUGAGACAUUUAAAUUAUUACAGUAAUGAUCAAAGAUCCAUUUUUCUCUCAUUGCCAUUUCUUACAGGGUGUUACUUAGAAAGUAUCUUUGUCAUCUUGUCUAUUAUUUGUUUCUCUUAUCUCUUUCCAUUUUUAUUGUAGUUUGUUUCAAAUAACAUUUUAAACAAUCUAUGUCAAUUCUAGAUGUAUAUUGGUAUGUAUUUAUUAUCAUUAUUAUGUUUUACACGGGUACAAACAGUUUUAGUCUAUCCUGUUUGAAAAUGUUAUUAUUCUCCAAGAUGAUUAAUUUUGUAAGUAUUAUUGGUUAUCAUCACAUGUAGUUUUGUGGUAUUCUAAUUUUAUGCAUUGUAAAAUCGUAUGACUGUUACCAUUUUUGAUUGAUUUUUUGAUUUGAAAUUUCAAAGCAUAUUGAAUUUGAGAACUUUUUCAACAUUGUAAAGUUACCCUCUAUUUCUCAUGUCAAUUUUUCAGACUAGUUUGAAAGAGACAGUCUAUUUCUAUGCAUUCAUGGAAUUAAAUGUAUCAUUCUAAUCAACUUCUCUAUAAUAUUCAUCAAUCUUCAUGCCUGUUCUUAGUUACUAAUGUUGAUGAAGAUUUAUUAAAAUCAUUUUAAAAUCAAACCCAAAAGGUGUUAUCAGUGAUGGUUACAAAUGUGAAUCUAUAGUCUGUUCUCGGAGCUGAGAGAUGAUGUAACAUGAAAAUGAGAAUACUCAUUAUUAUACUCUGUGCAGAAUUACUUCUUACUUGGGAUGGGCAUGCGCAACAGAGAAAGCAUACAGCGGGAAGGAUACAGAGGUUGCCAAAGUUGCCAUCGUUCUCCAACUUCUAGUGACUGUUCAUGUGCUCAUGCUACACAUACGACGUUUCCUGUCUGGAAGCAGUCAGACUACUGACAAAUUGGCAACUGUGCUUCUACCUAUGACUAUUAAUCACUGUAAUUGGCUGAUCUCCCUCCAUUUCUCUGCGCUGCAUAUUCCUCCAAGACUGAAGUAAAUUUGUACGGACUAUAGGUGAUGUUGAAACCCUGCAACAUUGAGUGCUGUUUGCACAGUAUCAGUUUAAACUAAAUUUAGUUUCAAACUGGAUUAAUAAUAAUAAUAAUCGCCUUUAUUGAUCAAAUAUACAACAAUUUGUUACAAAAAUAUUUCUAUAUAAGUAUUACAUUACUGGCAUUCGCCCCAUGGAUAAGAUCCGUCCGGGGGGAGAGGAGAAAGAUAAUUUUUUCCCUUUUUCAAGUUGCAAAAAGUUUACAAUGCUACAUUAAUUAUAUUUAAACGAUAUGGCAGAGAGGUUUUUUUAUUAUUAUUAUUAUUAUUACUACAAAAGAAGAUACGUUUUCAGAAAGCUUUAAAAAUUGAACUCCUGGAUCAAUGAAUACCUGUACUUCAAACUGGAUUAAAUCCACAUCAAGUCUCGUUCCUUAUAUUGUGGUUCAUUUUGAGUUGAAGCCACCAACUGAUUACAGUAAAUUCAGCUUUGACUGUGCAAACGGCACUCAAACAUGCUUGUGUGAGAGAAUAUCUUUAAGAAGCAAGACCAAUUCACAGUAGCCACCUGACAUCUUUGUCAUGAAUUGAACUGAAUAAUAUUGCAGUACAUGAUUCAGUAUUAAUGAGAGCAUUGUGAACUGGUAUUAUACGAGUU